GAAGGGACCUAGCGUAGUUGGGAAUUACUGGGCUUAAAGAGUUCGUAGGUGGUUGAAAAAGUUAGGGGGGAAAUCCCAGAGCUUAACUCUGGAACUGCCAUUAAAACUUUUCAGCUAGAGUGUGAUAGAGGAAAGCAGAAUUUUUAGUGUAGAGGUGAAAUUCGUAGAUUUUAGAAAGAACACCAAUUGCGAAGGCAGCUUUCUGGAUCAUUACUGACACUGAGGAACGAAAGCAUGGGUAGCGAAGAGGAUUAGAUACCCUCGUAGUCCAUGCCGUAAACGAUGUGUGUUAGACGUUGGAAAUUUAUUUUCAGUGUCGCCGCGAAAGCGAUAAACACACCGCCUGGGGAGUCCGACCGCAAGGUUAAAACUCAAAUGAAUUGACGGGGACCCGCACAAGUAGUGGAGCAUGUGGUUUAAUUCGAAGAUACGCGCAGACCCUUACCAACACUUGACAUGUUCGUCGCGACUCUAAGAGAUUAGAGUUUUCGGUUCGGCCGGACGAAACACAGGUGCUGCAUGGCUGUCGUCAGCUCGUGUCGUGAGAUGUUGGGUUAAGUCCCGCAACGAGCGCAACCCUCACUUUUAGUUGCCAUCAUUAAGUUGGGCACUCUGAAAGAACUGCCAGUGAUAAGCUGGAGGAAGGUGGGGAUGACGUCAAGUCCUCAUGGCCCUUACGUGUUGGGCUACACACGUGCUACAAUGGUAUCUACAACAGGAAGCAAGACUGCGAGGUCAAGCAAAUCCUUAAAAGAUACCUCAGUUCGGAUUGCACUCUGCAACUCGAGUGCAUGAAGCUGGAAUUACUAGUAAUCGUGGAUCAGCGUGCCACGGUGAAUGCGUUCCCGGGUCUU
rnacentral:rRNA from 1 species